UACGUAGGGUGCGAGCGUUGUCCGGAAUUAUUGGGCGUAAAGAGCUCGUAGGCGGUGUGUCGCGUCGGCCGUGAAAACCUGCAGCUUAACUGUGGGCGUGCGGUCGAUACGGGCAUCACUGGAGUUCGGCAGGGGAGACUGGAAUUCCUGGUGUAGCGGUGAAAUGCGCAGAUAUCAGGAGGAACACCGGUGGCGAAGGCGGGUCUCUGGGCCGUAACUGACGCUGAGGAGCGAAAGCAUGGGGAGCGAACAGG
rnacentral:rRNA from 1 species